GUUGUUGAAGUGGGUUCUGGUGUAGAAGUUGUUGUUGAAGUUGUAGAAGUUGUUGAAGUUAUAGAAGUUGUUGUUGAAGUUGUAGAAGUUGUUGUUGAAGUAUGUUCUGGUGUAGAAGUUGUUGUUGAAGUUGUAGAAGUUGUUGAAGUUAUAGAAGUUGUUGAAGAAGUAGGUUCUGGUGUAGAAGUUGUUGUUGAAGAAGGUUCUGGUGUAGAAGUUGUUGUUGAAGUAGGUUCUGGUGUAGAACUUGUUGUUGAAGUAGGUUCUGGUGUAGAAGUUGUUGUUGAAGUUGUAGAAGUUGUUGUUGAAGUAGGCUCUGGUGUAGAAGUUGUUGUUGAAGUAGGUUCUGGUGUAGAAGUUGUUGUUGAAGUUGUAGAAGUUGUUGUUGAAGUAGGUUCUGGUGUAGAAGUUGUUGUUGAAGUAGGUUCUGGUGUAGAAGUUGUUGUUGAAGUAGGUUCUGGUGUAGAAGUUGUUGUUGAAGUUGUAGAAGUUGUUGAAGUUGUAGAAGUUGUUGUUGAAGUAGGUUCUGGUGUAGAAGUUGUUGUCGAAGUAUGUUCUGGUGUAGAAGUUGUUGUCGAAGUAGGUUCUGGUGUAGAAGUUGUUGUUGAAGUAGGUUCUGGUGUAGAAGUUGUUGUUGAAGUUGUAGAAGUUGUUGUUGAAGUAGGUUCUGGUGUAGAAGUUGUUGAAGUGGGUUCUGGUGUAGAAGUUGUUGUUGAAGUUGGUUCUGGUGUAGAAGUUGUUGUUGAAGUUGUAGAAGUUGUUGUUGAAGUAGGUUCUGGUGUAAAAGUUGUUGUUGAAGUUGUAGAAGUUGUUGUUGAAGUAGGUUCUGGUGUAGAAGUUGUUGAAGUGGGUUCUGGUGUAGAAGUUGUUGUUGAAGUUGGUUCUGGUGUAGAAGUUGUUGUUGAAGUUGUA